GCUGGGUGUGGUGGUGCACACCUGUAAUCCCAGCUACUCAGGAGGCUGAGACAGGAGAAUCACUUGAACCUGGGAGGCAGAGGUUGCAGUGAGCUGAGAUCGUACCACUGCACUCACAGCCUGGGUGACAAAGCAAGACCCUGUCUCUU
rnacentral:SRP_RNA from 1 species